UACGUAGGGGGGCAAGCGUUGUCCGGAUUUAUUGGGCGUAAAGAGCGUGUAGGCGGCCAUACAGGUCCGUUGUGAAAACUGGAGGCUUAACCUCCAGACGUCGAUGGAAACCGUAUGGCUAGAGUCCGGAAGAGGAGAGUGGAAUUCCUGGUGUAGCGGUGAAAAUGCGCAGAUAUCAGGAAGAACACCCGUGGCGAAGGCGGCUCUCUGGGACGGUACUGACGCUGAGACGCGAAAGCGUGGGGAGCGAACAGG
rnacentral:rRNA from 1 species